rnacentral:rRNA from 1 species
GAUGAACGCUGGCGGCGUGCCUAAUACAUGCAAGUCGAGCGAACAGACGAGGAGCUUGCUCCUCUGACGUUAGCGGCGGACGGGUGAGUAACACGUGGAUAACCUACCUAUAAGACUGGGAUAACUUCGGGAAACCGGAGCUAAUACCGGAUAAUAUAUUGAACCGCAUGGUUCAAUAGUGAAAGACGGUUUUGCUGUCACUUAUAGAUGGAUCCGCGCCGCAUUAGCUAGUUGGUAAGGUAACGGCUUACCAAGGCAACGAUGCGUAGCCGACCUGAGAGGGUGAACGGCCACACUGGAACUGAGACACGGUCCAGACUCCUACGGGAGGCAGCAGUAGGGAAUCUUCCGCAAUGGGCGAAAGCCUGACGGAGCAACGCCGCGUGAGUGAUGAAGGUCUUCGGAUGGUAAAACUCUGUUAUUAGGGAAGAACAAAUGUGUAAGUAACUAUGCACGUCUUGACGGUACCUAAUCAGAAAGCCACGGCUAACUACGUG